AGUGAACGCUGGCGGUAGGCCUAACACAUGCAAGUCGAACGGCAGCACAGUAAGAGCUUGCUCUUACGGGUGGCGAGUGGCGGACGGGUGAGGAAUACAUCGGAAUCUACUUUUUCGUGGGGGAUAACGUAGGAAAACUUACGCUAAUACCGCAUACGACCGACGGGUGAAAGCAGGGGAUCUUCGGAUCUUGCGCGAUUGAAUGAGCCGAUGUCGGAUUAGCUAGUUGGCGGGGUAAAGGCCCACCAAGGCGACGAUCCGUAGCUGGUCUGAGAGGAUGAUCAGCCACACUGGAACUGAGACACGGUCCAGACUCCUACGGGAGGCAGCAGUGGGGAAUAUUGGACAAUGGGCGCAAGCCUGAUCCAGCCAUACCGCGUGGGUGAAGAAGGCCUUCGGGUUGUAAAGCCCUUUUGUUGGGAAAGAAAAGCAGCAGGUUAAUACCCCGCUGUUCUGACGGUACCCAAAGAAUAAGCACCGGCUAACUUCGU
rnacentral:rRNA from 1 species